rnacentral:rRNA from 1 species
UACGAAGGGUGCAAGCGUUACUCGGAAUUACUGGGCGUAAAGCGUGCGUUGGCGGUUUGUUAAGUCCGUUGUGAAAGCCCUGGGCUCAACCUGGGAAUUGCAGUGGAUACUGGCGAGCUAGAGUGCGGUAGAGGAUGGUGGAAUUCCCGGUGUAGCGGUGAAAUGCGUAGAGAUCGGGAGGAACACCCGUGGCGAAGGCGGCCAUCUGGACCAGCACUGACGCUGAGGCACGAAAGCGUGGGGAGCAAACAGG